AUCUCCUCAGUAUAUAAAGUACACUUGCCUUCCAAGCAAAAAGUUCCACCACCAGUGGAAGGGGAUA
rnacentral:tRNA from 1 species